UCAGGGGAGCCUUUAAAAGAAGGUGAAGCGUCAACGAGGUGCACUCCUGCUGGCCUGGAAGAAAGUGAACAGCAAUGGUGCUGCUCGCCCAUGGGAGCCACAUGGCGAGGACUGAGAGCAGGCGCUGGGAGCUGAGAGCAGUCCCUGGCUGACAGCCGGCAAGAAAACGGAGGCCUCGGUCCUACAGCUGCAAGGAAAUGGAUUCUGCCAACAACCAGUGAGCUUGGAAGAGGAUCCCAGGCCUCAGAUGAGAAUCACAGCCCUGGCCGCCACUUUGAUUUCAUCCUGCCAUGUUGGCCCAGGCCACCUCCUCCUUCGGCCUGGACCCCCACGACAGCAUCUGACUGCUCUCCCUGUUCCAAGCAGUAACUCCAUCACUGCAGGCACAACCAGCUGUGGGAUCCCCCAUGGACCUCUGGGGCUGAAUGCCGUGGAAACCCCAGAAGAAGCCUGAGCCCAUGCCGCUCCCCUUCCCUCCGUUACCUGGCCCAAGAUCAAGGUAAC